CCGUCUGGGAGGAGCGCAGAGAGGCGGAGAAACGACGCCGGAAAACAGAUUUAAACCAAGUUCGAAACUUUGCUUCUGUUUGCUAGUACUGUCAGAAAACGUCGUUACGAAAGAGGUCCGGAUGCUAAAACAAACUCUGGAACUGCUUUCUCAACUAACGAGUAAGACUGGAUGCUGAACACACCUCCGGCGCGAAGGUUUACUUGUGCAGCUGUUGCAGCCUGGACAAAGAUGCCACCUCUCAGCUCACAAAACAAACAGUUCCUCCAGGUGCCACCACUUCUGUCCACGAUCACUGUCUUUGUACAAUGAAGUUCUUUGAGACCAGGACAGAGGCCUCAAGGUGAUGUGGUCUUCUCCCCCUCCUCCUGCAGAGAUAGAACAUGUUAAUCACAGGAACUGUCCAAAGCUUUAAGUCCUGAAACUUUAUUACAAAUGUAAUUAAAGAAGAAAAAGAAAGUUUA